GCUCGGGGGUCCCGGCCCCGAACCCGUCGGCUGUCGGCGAAUUGCUCGAGGUGCUCACGCGGCAAGAGCGGGACGUCGCAUGCCGGCCGGGGAACGGACUGGGAAUCGCCCCUUCGGACGCUUUUCCCGAGCAUGAAACAGUCGACUCAAAACUAGUAUGGACAAGGGGAAUCAGACUAUUCAAUUAAAACAAAGCAUUGUGAUGGUCCUCGCGGAUGCUGACGCAAUGUGAUUUC
rnacentral:ncRNA from 1 species